rnacentral:lncRNA from 1 species
UCUCUCGACUGGUCGUAGCCAUGUCGGUAUAAUUCUAAUCUGACUUUGGUUAUUUUGGUAUUUUACCUUUCUUAGUUGAUAUCAAGUUGGCAAAUUAGCCAGCCAUUUGAACGAAAAGCUAACUAUGGGGGCGGCGCAGCUUUUGUGGAGGAAAUCUACAUGGCUGGCGCUAGCCUCCUGUUGAAGUAGAUAGGUCGAUUCUGUGGGAG